rnacentral:ribozyme from 1 species
UUUUUUUUUUUUUUUUUUUUUUUUUUUUUUUUUUUUUUUUCGUCGGCUUUCCACAACGCAACUGGAAGUAA